GAUGAACGCUGGCGGCGUGCCUAAUACAUGCAAGUAGAACGCUGAAGGAGGAGCUUGCUCUUCUGGAUGAGUUGCGAACGGGUGAGUAACGCGUAGGUAACCUGCCUGGUAGCGGGGGGUAACUAUUGGACACGAUAGCUAAUACCGCAUGACAACAGUUAUUGCAUGAUAACUGUUUAAAAGGGGCAACUGCUCCACUACCAGAUGGACCUGCGUUGUAUUAGCUAGUUGGUGAGGUAACGGCUCACCAAGGCGACGAGACAUAACCGACCUGAGAGGGGGAUCGGCCACACUGGGACUGGGACACGGCCCAGACUCCUACGGGUGGCAGCAGUAGGGGAUCUUCGGGAAUGGACGGAAGGCUGACCGAGCAACGCCGCGUGAGUGAAGAAGGGUUUCGGAUCGUAAAGCCCUGGUGGAAGAGAAGAACGAGUGGGAGAGUGGAAAGUGCACACUGUGACGGUAUCUUAACAGAAAGCGACGGCUAACUACGUG
rnacentral:rRNA from 1 species